rnacentral:rRNA from 1 species
GACGAACGCUGGCGGCGUGCUUAACACAUGCAAGUCGAACGGAAAGGCCCUGCUUUUGUGGUGUGCUCGAGUGGCGAACGGGUGAGUAACACGUGAGUAACCUGCCCUUGACUUUGGGAUAACUUCAGGUAACUGGGGCUAAUACCGGAUAGGAGCUCCUGCUGCAUGGUGGGGGUUGGAAAGUUUCGGCGGUUGUGGAUGGAUUCGCGGCUUACCAGCUUGUUGGUGGGGUAGUGGCUUGCCAAGGGUUUGAAGGGUAGGCGGCAUGAGAGGGUGAACGGCCACAAUGGGACUGAGAUACGGCGCAGAGUCGUACGGGAGGCAGCAGUGGGGAAUAUUGCACAAUGGGCGGAAGCCUGAUGAAGCAACGCCGCGUGCGGGAUGACGGCCUGCGGGUUGUAAACCGCUUUCGCCUGUGACGAAGCGGGAGUGACGGUAAUGGGUAAAGAAGCACCGGCUAACUACGUG